rnacentral:rRNA from 2 species
GUGAGCGGCAAGAGCUCAAAUUUGAAAUCUGGCCCCUUCGGGGUCCGAGUUGUAAUUUGUAGAGGAUGCUUCGGGUGUGGCCCCCGUCGAAGUGCCCUGGAACGGGCCGUCGGAGAGGGUGAGAAUCCCGUCUGGGACGGGGUGCCCGCGCCCGUGUGAAGCUCCCUCGACGAGUCGAGUUGUUUGGGAAUGCAGCUCUAAGUGGGUGGUAAAUUUCAUCUAAAGCUAAAUACCGGCCGGAGACCGAUAGCGCACAAGUAGAGUGAUCGAAAGAUGAAAAGCACCUUGAAAAGGGAGUUAAACAGCACGUGAAAUUGUUGAAAGGGAAGCGCUGACGACCAGACUCGCCCGCGGGGUUCAGCCGGCCUUCGGGCUGGUGUACUUCCCCGCGGGCGGGCCAGCGUCGGUUUGGGCGGCCGGUCAAAGGCCCCCGGAAUGUAGCGCCUCUCGGGGCGCCUUAUAGCCGGGGGUGCAAUGCGGCCUGCCUAGACCGAGGAACGCGCUACGGCACG